AUUGAACGCUGGCGGCAGGCUUAACACAUGCAAGUCGAGCGGUAGCACAGGGGAGCUUGCUCCCUGGGUGACGAGCGGCGGACGGGUGAGUAAUGUCUGGGAAACUGCCUGAUGGAGGGGGAUAACUACUGGAAACGGUAGCUAAUACCGCAUAACGUCGCAAGACCAAAGAGGGGGACCUUCGGGCCUCUUGCCAUCAGAUGUGCCCAGAUGGGAUUAGCUGGUAGGUGGGGUAAUGGCUCACCUAGGCGACGAUCCCUAGCUGGUCUGAGAGGAUGACCGGCCACACUGGAACUGCGACACCGUCCAGACUCCUACGGGAGGCAGCAGUGGGGAAUAUUGCACAAUGGGCGCAAGCCUGAUGCAGCCAUGCCGCGUGUGUGAAGAAGGCCUUCGGGUUGUAAAGCACUUUCAGCGAGGAGGAAGGUGGUGAACUUAAUACGCUCAUCAAUUGACGUUACUCGCAGAAGAAGCACCGGCUAACUCCGUGCCAGCCGCCGCCGUAA
rnacentral:rRNA from 1 species